CUCGGGGGGAACGAGCCGCCCACAGCAGCAGCUGCCGGGCCGCGGAGCCCGGGCUCCACUCUCGUCUACCCCGCCAAGUGAACGGGUGGGACUGGCAGCUGCCUCUGCCCGCAGCACUGCGGACCCCGAGCCGAAAACAUUCUGUGAGAAGAAAGCUCCAUAUUAACCUUUAAUGGCAUAUGCUGCAGCCCAGGGUGAAAUGAGUAUAAAGAACCAAAUUCUGUCCAUUCUCAUAAUCCAUGCUCCUGGAACCAUUUGGCCUUUCCUGUAGAGAAGCACAGGCUCUGAUUUGCCUCCUGGACACGGAAAGCCCAGAGCCAGUGUCACACAUCCACCUUGCUGUCACAGCAAUGCCAUGUUGCUCACUCCACAUGCCUCCCACACAAUCUCACAAAGAGCCCUGUGCCAACGCAGCUUCUGUACCUCUGCCAUCAGCACCAUCCUCCUCCACAUGCACUCCGUGGACUGCACACCUGCCUGUGCCCAUGCCACAGUCACCAGCACAGCGACUAGGGCCAGACCCAGGCUGUCAAAGCCUUGCUCACAGUCAUCUGCUUCCCUUCACAGCAACCAGUCAUGAUGAACUGCCCCCACAUCUCAUGCAAAUUUUAAGGGAAAAUUGUAAAGUCCAGAGACAGUUGAAUUAGUUCUGUGUGUGGUUUGGUUCUUCUGAUUUAUCAAAUCAGCUUUGUUGGAGCCAGUUCCAGCCAAGUGCAGCAGCUCUAUCGCAGAGGCAGUGUAGAAGGAACAGCUCCUAGACCUCCCCAGCCUCAGGAGCAGAUACACCAGUGCACGGAGGGCACUGGGUCUGGAUGGCACUCUUGACAUGGCAGGCUGCCAUCUCUGUGCUGCCCGAAUGACACAACAGCCGUAUCCCUUCUGGGUGCAGCAGAAUCGCUCUCUGACUUCACUUGUAGCUUGUUUAGCUGAUGCUGUUUCAAAGCAACGUGAAUAUAGGCCAUACUCCCGAUCCGAGGGAGUGAAGCACGCUGGAGGUGGCCCUCGGGUGCCUUUCUGAGCGAUAACAAACAGGCAGCUGGUGAGAUCGAAAUGACAGAAAACUGCGUCUCCUCCGGGGAGGACGGUCAAAGAAAUUCAGCGGAGCUGCUAGUCAUUCUGCGUCUCUUUCUUCUUCUGCCUAGCAGUCUGAGAUGGAUGAUGUGUCCCAAAACCAGGCCAGAGAGGAAGGCUCCGGCAGGGGGCUGUGGAGGCUGUGGGGUGUCCCCCGCAGCAUCCCCGAGGGGCGCUGG
rnacentral:lncRNA from 1 species